rnacentral:rRNA from 1 species
UCCGUAGGUGGAUAAUUAAGUCAGAGGUGAAAUCCUGCAGCUCAACUGUAGAAUUGCCUUUGAUACUGGUUAUCUUGAGUCAUUAUGAAGUGGUUAGAAUGUGUAGUGUAGCGGUGAAAUGCAUAGAUAUUACACAGAAAACCGAUUGCGAAGGCAGAUCACUAAUAAUGUACUGACACUGAGGGACGAAAGCGUGGGGAGCGAACAGGAUUAGAUACCCUGGUAGUCC